UCUCCUCCUCCUCCAGAAUCAAUUCCAAUGUCUUCCAUCUCAUCUUCCUCUCAUGACGAUCUUCACCUUAGAAAUGAAUAUUUUCAACUACUCCCUCUCUUUUUGAUAUGACAAAGGGGGGAAUGAAUUAAGGAGCUAAAUUUAGAAAUUUGAGAAGUAAUAUUUUGUGUACUCUAGAAAUGAAUAUUUAGAAAUGAAAUUUGAGAAGUAAUUUAGAAAUUAAUAUUUUCAACCACACGAUCUAAUGUUUGCUUAUUUCUCCUACUAGUAUUUUAAUUUCUAAAUUAGGAUUAAUUGCUUUUUAUUUUGUUUUAAACCAUUUGAAUAUUCAAGAAAAUCAUUUGUGAUGUAAUUUAUUUAGUAUGAAACUAUGAAUGAUAUAUUAUGGUUCAAGUAAAUCACAAGUUUAGUUACUCAAUUUGCAUUUUAAAACUUUAAUAUGAUAUUGAAUGCUAAAAUUUUAGGGAGAGCUCUUUGUUAAAAAUAUACAAAUAUUGUUACUGAUUUGCUUAAUGAGAAUCAUAAAUUAAAAUCUAAUUCAACAAGUUUGUCAUCAUAAAAAAUAAGAGUUGCUGAGGUAAAAUUCCAAUUUUAUAAUAAACAUUUGAAGAAUAUUUUUAAGACUGAUAUCUAACCUGUACUUUUGAGUGGUUUAAUUUAUAGACAGGUUCUGAUUAUGAUACAAGCAUCUCAUAUUCGCGACAUAAUUUAAUCCAUCUUUGUGACAUGAUGCAUCCCUCUAAAUUGCGAUAGAUUGAUAUUUUGUAACAAAAUCCAUCACUAAUUUGUGGUCAAAAUCAAUAAUUAUAUGUUAUGUUUUCGUUUGGUAUUAGUGAUGGAAGAAUUAAGAGUUUGUUUGAGUUCAAGUGGUUAAUGAGUUCCACAUAUGAUGAAUUGUUUAAGAGAAUCUGAAUUCGAUUUCUGAGUGAAAUAAUUCUAUUAUUAACCAAACUUUACUUAUCUUCUGAUCGAACUCCAAAUUAUCAAGACUAUUUCCAUUGAGAACUAGAGGGUUAACACAACCAAAAAAACUAAGAGUUGUCUAAUAUGAACCUCCUAAAAAAGGUUUAAAGUUGGACAUUUACUAUUUUUAGCAAAAGAUUGAAUUUUAUAAUAAUAAUAGUAAAAGGAAAAAAAUGUGUAAUGUUUUAUCAAAACUUACAAAAAUCGAAUUUUUCUAGAAGUCGAAAUUUUUUGGUGGAAUCUAGAGAUCAAUUUUAGAUUAUGUCCAUCUAAAGUCGAUCAUUUCCGUUUAGAGAUCGACUUUAGAUAGACAUGAAAAACUCAUAUAUGUGAGGAUACAAUUAUGUCGCAAUUGGCUAAAAUUUCUAGAUCUCCUAGCUAAAUAUUUAAUGUCCAACAUCCACGGUUUUGUUUAUGUGGUUACAUUAAUUAGUUUGCGACGAAAUUGUGUUGCUUUAGCGACAAAUCACAUACCCUAUCUAAAUUUAGUUUUUUUUCUUCUUCUAAUGGAGUGGCCAAUAAUAAAUAGUUUCUUUUAAGGGAUAAUAAAUAGUUUCUUCAAAAAAAAAAUAGCCAAACACAAAAGCUAUCGGAAAAAAGCCCAAGGACCCAAAAAGAUCCCCGGUCACACACAAAACCAACAAAAAAUGAAGCCCAUCCCAACACGCCAACAUGAGAAAUAAAGACAAAAAACACCCACAUGACAGAAGAACCUCGAAAUCCUGGAACCACCCAAACCCUCAAAGACAUAUAAGAUCCAUAUGUGUCAAACAACAUUGAACCCUAAAGGUGUCAACGUACAAAGAAUUGGUUGUCUCCCACUCGUAAGGGGAGCCGCGCGAUGCCUAGAGAAUUUACCAAAGAAUCACUCCCAAGAAUGAAAAAUAAUCCAAUCAACAUGUUGCUGCUCAGUCUCGAAGUUACUUCUUGAGAAAGGUCAUUACGAACUUUUCAAAUAUACCACACAUUCGCAUGCCCUAGCUCUCCUCCUAUAUACACCUAAAAGAGAACACACCAACUAAAUGUUAAGAACUCGGACACUGCAUAUCAAAUGCUCAUACACGACUACCAUAUUUGAUGUACUGAUUGUGUACUCUUUUUUUUUAUCCAAAAGUACUAAAAGUAAAUGAAGAAAGAAUAUGAGGAAGUAUACAUAGUACAUUUUUAUUUGUCUAAAAAGUAGUGAAAAUUUAACAUGGUUGGUUAUUAUAAAGUAAAACUAGCAGCCCUAAACACCGUAGUAGCAAACUUAAGCCAAACCCAUGCUGGCCCAUCAACUUAUAUAAUAAUUACCCACGAACGUUAGUGGAAAAACUCGGUUGCAUAUUUUAUUGUCUCCCCUAUAAUUGUUAUAACCUACAAAUACUUAUACGUCACUUAAAUUUGAGCAAUCUCAUCCAUAAAUUCCCACCCCACAAGGCCACAACAACGAUUAAAGAAACAAAUUAAGAGAGAUUAUACAUACAUAUACACUCCUACUUAGGUCCAUUCCACCAAUUAAAGGAAUCACAAACAAGAAGAGAAAAAUAAAAUAGCUAGAGAGAAAUACAUAAAGAUGAGUGAAGAAUGUGGUGGAAACACUAUUGCUACCUCUACUACUCCAUUAAACUGGUGGUAUCUUCAAGCAAAUUCUCUUUCUUCUAAUUGGAAUGAUGUUAAACAUGCAUGGAACAACCAAAUGAAUAAUCCAAAUUCUUCCUCUUCUUGUGAGGAUCAAGAUAUAUCAGUUUCUUCUACAUCUUUCACCAAUGCAUCAAACCAUUCAAGCCUCACUGUUGAAUCCUCUCGAAGAGUAUUCGUCGAGCCGCAUGCACCACCUUCCUCCAACGACUUCAUGGCCGAACAUGCUUCGGAUAACCAACUAUGGAGUCAUGUUUUAUCGUAAGUUUCGUAAAUUGUUAAUUAUUACAAUUGUGCUAUAUGUUAUAAUGAAAACUAGUCUCAAUAUCACGAAAUAAUGUGCGUUAGAAUUUCAGUACAAAGGAAAAAAAAUUCAUAUGCUAUUGACUGAAAACAUGGAUCUGUCCAAUGAUAUUAUUUUGUGACACUUCUUAAUGGAACCCCUUCAUGACAGUAAACAAUUUCCUAAUUAUUAAUAAAUAUCUGAUGUUUUUACUGCUAUAUAUUAUUGAAACUGGCAAAAAAUUUUAUUGCUAUAUAAGAGACAAAUCUUUUACAGUUUUAGGUUAGAAAUUUUGUGAAGUUUAAGGGUGUUUUAAGUUAGGUAUAUAGGGUUAAAGUAUACGAUGGUUUUUUUCAGUGUGAGUAAAUAAUAUUCUUCUAGGCCUUUGCUUUCCACUAUCUAUAACAUGCUAACAGCUGUUAUGUGCACUAUAAUCAGUGUUUUCACACUAUGCAACAAUGAUCUCUUGUUUAUCCAUCCACAUACCAAUAAAAACCCUCUUGGAUUCUGUAAGAUAUAUAAUUAAAAAGUAAAUUUAUUAUAUAUUUUAGUAUAUAUACAGCUAAUUAGCUUUUUGUUUUGAUAAGAAAUGUUUGUAUAUUUUAAUUACAACUAAUUUACUUUCUUAUGUAAAAUAAUUUAUAGAGGUGUUGAUUCAAAUGGAGAGUUACACAACAACCAAGAAAUUGGAGAGAAUUUCUUGGAUGGACUAUCAUCAAAAACCAUGACAAACACUAUGUUUGAUGAACCAGCUUGUGACUAUUUGAAGAAACUUGAUACAACAAGUUGGGAAUAUAAUACUAGUGGUUCAACUUCAUUCAAUACUAAUUUUGAGAAGCACUUAAAUGGGUACAGUGAAGCUCUUAUUGAGAAUAAUGAAAGGUUGACAAAAUUAUCCAAUCUUGUAAGCACUUGGUCUAUUGCCCCACCUGACCCUGAAGUUAGUAGCCACUUUGAUUCACAAACAAAUAACAAUUUGUCUACUAAUUUGAAUAAUUCUAAUUCGUCCAAUAUGGAUCAUAAUCACUACACACAUGAUUCUGACCCUAAUUGUCAUUUCAAACUACCUUUUGGUGAUUCCACAUCAUGUACUAUUAGAGAAGGAGUAGGUAAUAAAAUGUUCCCUAGUUGCCUUGAUAUUCAAGACAUGAAUAAGGUUAAGGAAGAAUAUCAUCAUCAUGCAAGUGAAGUGAUGCAAGGACAUGUAUUUAGAAAAUCACUUAAUCCAAAUGGAUAUCUUGAUGGAUUUAACUCAGUGGGAGAUCACAAUGGCAAAUUUUAUGAAGGGUUGCCAAAUAUUUCACCAUGCACCAAAAAUUUCUCAGAUGUUAUAUCCUUUAAUAGUAGGCUUGGAAGGCCAGUUGUUGGAAUCCAUCCACAAAGGCCUAAUAUGAGAUACUCAAACUUAUCUGAGUCAAAGAAACAAGGGCUUCAAACACCAUCACAUGUGAGUUUUUUCUUCUUCUUUUAUAGACAAAUUUUAUUUGUUAAUUUGUUUUGUUAGCAGCAUACAAAUUUCACUUAAAAUAGUGAUGAUCCAUCUUUAUAUCCUAUAUUUUUGAGAGAUCCAUAUUUUUCUAAAACGGUAAAAUUUAUUAAUAAUUAAGUUUCUGCACUAGACGAACAGAGACCUGUAAAAUAUAUAUGAGACAAAUCCGAAAAAAUAUAUGAAGUAGCGACAAAAAAUUUAAAAAGAAAUUUUUAUAAUGUAUUUGUCUCUAUAAAUUAGACAUGGAAAUUUAAUUAUUUUUGUUUCUAAUUUCUUGGUUGAUUUAACUUUUUUUAGUAUGGCAACUAAUUUCUAUUCAAAAUUUAGAGAAAAAGUCAUGCUAGCUCUGACAUUAUUUUGUCAAAUAAAAUGUGUAUGCAAUUAAUUUAUGCAGAUGAGAACCACUAAUGGAAGAGGAGAGGGAACAACACGUGAAGUAAAGAAGAAAAGAUCUGAAGAAUCAUCAGAAGCAAGUUUGAAAAAGCCUAAGCAAGAUACUUCAACAACAAAUUCAUCUUCAAAGGUACAUAAAUAUAUUUAUUAUAUAUUAUGUAAUAUACGUACCAACAUGAACUAAUUAUGAGUGUAAAAAAGUCAUAUAAAGUGGGGGAAACCUUUUUAUUUUGUGUAUUAAUGUAAAUUAAGAAACUUCUAUUGAUUGUUUAAAAGGUGCAAGCACCUAAAGUCAAGCUAGGAGACAAGAUCACAGCCCUUCAACAAAUUGUGUCUCCAUUUGGAAAGGUUACUACAGAAUGCACUAAUCCCCACACCCUCUUCCCUUUUUCAUUCCUAUCUUUUUUGUAUAAAUAAUUCACAGUGCUUUUACUUUUCUCACUACCUACUUCAUAAUAAUCAAUUUAUUUUAUUUUUCUUUGUUGAAUUUCAGACUGAUACAGCAUCUGUGCUGUUUGAAGCAAUAGGGUACAUAAAGUAUCUUGAAGAACAAGUCCAGGUGUGUAUCAUUAUGGAAAAGUUCCCAUUCAUUAUGCAUUAUAUGUAACUAUAUAGUAUAUAAUAUACAUUAUUGUUGCUUUUCUCCUCCUUUUCAUUUUUAAUUAAUGCCAAGGAAACUUGACUUCUAGGAUUAUUAGUUCUUUAUCAAAAUGAAUAAACUAACAACAAUGCUGUGUUGAGCGAUUACACAUUUUCCAUGAAUAUCUCAUGAGCUUCAUCAACUAUAUAAUAUAAGGAGAUUUUAAAUAACACCUAACUAAAAUCUAAUUAUGAUUAGUAAAAAUAUGUGCCCCUGCCAGUAUGUUAAUCUUAGCUGCAACAAAUUACAAAAUUGUAUACUAUUAGUAGAUUAAAAACAAAACAAAAUGAAAAAUAAAAAUUUUAUAGGGACUAAACAUGUUUAACCAUGUACCAAAAAAAAAACAUAUUUAACCAUAUAUACUUUAAGUGAUUAAAGAUGCAGGUUUUUUUUAUCAUAACCCUUCCAUUCCUAGAAAAUGGCCUAUAUAAUACAUGUUCCGGCCGGAAAGUAAGUAAAGUCUGACAAAUAAUCAUUUUAAGUCAUAAUUUGAAACCAAGUUUCUUCUAAACUAUUGGUAUUAAAGGUGCAGCUUCAAACACAAACAGUUCAACUAUAAGUAAUAUAAUCAUCUUUUUCUUCAUUAUAUACAAUUAACAGUUUAAUUUAUCUUUAAUUAAUUCUUUUUACGUUCAUAAUUAUUAUGCAGUUACUGAGCAACCCUUACUUGAAGGCAAAUUCACACAAGGUAAUUAAGAAAUUAAUCUAUAUAUAGAUAUCUCUAUUAAGUACUUUUCAAAAUUAAAUUAUUCUCUCAAAAUUUCACUCUUAAUUAGAGAUGAUUAACAUAAUAAUUAAUCCAGGAUCCAAGGGGAAGCUACUUCGAUAGAAAAGAUAAGGAGGAUGCAAAGCUAGACCUUCGAAGUAAAGGUCUUUGUUUAGUUCCUACUUCAUGUACCCCUAUAGUUUAUAGAGAGAACAAUGGGCCAGAUUACUGGACACCAGCGUAUAGAGGAUGUAUGUAUAGGUGAUUAAUAACACAUGCAUAUGACUUAUGCCAAAAAUAGUAUGUGGUUGUAUGUACUAUAAUCUUGGAAAUUAUAAGAUCUCGUCAAUAAAUCAUAUAUUAUCCUGAAUGUAACUAUUUAUUUAUUGUCUUGAUGUAAUGCCUGGUUACACGAGUAUACACAUUUUAGUUGACCUUCAAACAAGGGCUAGUACUUAGCAUUAUUGAUUUUUCUUUUUUUAAAGUUCUCUUACUAGAAAGAAUGUGUUUUUCAUACUAAAAAAUUACUUGAGUAAAAAAAACGAUAUUAAUAAAAAGACUCUUAAAGUAAAAAUGUUUCUCUCAGUGAUAUAGACAAAAGAUGCACAUUUUACCAAUUUAGCUCUCCAAUUACAAACAAAUUAUUAACAGUCACAAUUGUUGGAUGAUGUAAAAAUUUGACAUUAACUAAUGUUUUUUUUACGGAUUAAUAAUUUUUUUCUACGAAUAUAUAUUCAAUUUUCAUUUUCUAUAGUUUUAUUCAAAUUGCUAACGAAGGAAAUGAAACACUCAUGUAAUGUAUAUGUGUGAUAGGGAGAAGGUGAUAAGCAAACUAGCUAGGAUGAAUGUAUUUUCAAAAUCAAUGAAAAUAAUGUUUAGGCACUUUCAAAGUUUAUCAAAAAGUUUUAUAUGUUUUAAAAAAAAUGUAAAAGAAGAUUGUGAUGAAAAUAUUCUUUUAUGUUCAUUUGUUGAAGUGAAAAUAAAAAAAAAUAAAAUAAUAUUUAUUAGGUAUAAUUCAGAGUAUAAUUAAUCUCACAUUGAGUCUCUCAUUAGUUGGUUAGUCAAAAGAAUAUGAAAUUCAUUUUAUUUUCUAAUCGAAAAUUAAUUAUAGCGAAGCAAUUAGAUAAUUCACACCUAUAAUACAAUCUUUAAUUUUCUAAUAGGUGUAAAUUCUCUUAUAGGUGUGAAUUAUAGCAAUUAGGUAAUUUUCUAAUACAUACCUAUAAAAUUAUCUAAUCUAAUUGUUAUAAGAAACUUCUAAGGUACACUCAGAAAGUGAGGUGUACCGGUACUCAUGCUUCAUAAUUUUAUAAAUUAACGAUCAUUUUUUAUGAAAUAAAUAGUUAUUUGUUAAUAUUAAUAUUUUAUAGAACAUCAUUUCAUAAGAAAAAACAUCAUUUCAUUGUUUAUAAGAAUUAUAAUAAUUUUUUUUACAUAUUAUCAUAAAAAAUAAUCAAUGUUCUCAAUUAUGAGUGAAAAAAAUUCAAAAAAAAUUAAUUUUAUUUCGUUGACACUUUUGAUAAAUAAGAUUUAAUUAUUAUAAUUAUAGAUGAUAAAAAAUAAUAUUUUUCUUUAAAAAAACAACUCAUUUAACUAUUAAUUUAAAAAAUGAGUAUACCAAUACACUCAAAUAUAUUGGAUGUACCAUAAAAUUUGCAUUGUUAUAAUUAUCUUAUACCGAAGUAAUUAGAUAAUUCACAGGUGUGAAUUUUUUGAUGAUUGUAUUAUAAGUGUGAAUUAUCCAAUUGCUUCGCUAUAAUUAAUCUCCACCUAAAAUUUCACUAAUCAACUUUAGUUGAGUCUCUCUUCUCAAUUACUACCUUCGUCCUAAUUAUAAGACUCUUUUGAAAAAAUAAUGGGAAUUAAGAUAGUGGAUAUUUGUAUUAAAUAUGUUUGUAAUUACUAUUGUUUUUACAAUUUUAUCCUUUAAGAAAUAGGGUUGGCUUAUGUUUUCAACAUUUUAUUUAUUGCUGAUUGAAGAAAAAGAUGUAUAAUAAAUAGGGGCAUGUAUGUAAAGAAAUAAUUAAUGUAGUUGGAAAUAGAAAAGGGGUCUUAUAAAAAGGGACAAAAUUUUUUUCUCAAAAGGGUCUUAUAAUUAGGGACGGAGGUAGUAUGUUUUUUUUUCUUCAUCCAAAAAAACCCUUUUUAAAGUGAAAUAUCAUAGAGUUAUUUAUUUUUUCGCAAAGGACUCACCAAAUAAUGUAUACAUCACCUCAAACCCUAGUCGUCACCCUUUUCUUCUUCUUUUCAGAGGGGUGAUUUAGGGUUAUUUUUGACACAAAAUCACCCCUCCGAAUUGUUUUUUCUUCUAUCAUAAUUAAAUAACUGAUUUCACAUAUUUUCAGUUUUCUUUCGUUUGAUUUGUGAUUACGUCGUCUCUGAACGACUCUGUUUGUUUUGAUUUCCCGUCUUUAUCCGGUGUGUUUUUGAUUUCCCAUCUUAGUGCGGUGUUUAUUUGAUUCAGGUUGAAAGAUUAGCUUUAAGCAAGUGCAGAUCCGAUCAAUGACAAUGACUUUGGCGUCGUCAACGUUGCAGAUUCGGAGACAUGAGUAUUCCGGAGACAUGAAUAUAGUCAUAUUAAUUAUAUUUGUAGGCAUAGGUACUUUGCCGUUUUAUGCUAUUAACAUGGAUGCUGUGAGUUUGUUCACAGAUUCAUCCUUUUUAUUUUUAGCAAAUUUGAAUUUGUAUUGUAUCGAUGUACUCUAUCAAUUUGAAAGAAUGCAUAUUGUUUAUUUUUGUCAAAAAAAUAAUAAUAAUGUAUACAUCACCUUAUACCGUAAGAAGCAUAAAAGACACUCAUUAACAAAAUAUUUGAAUAAGAAAGCAUAGCCUGAACUAUAUAAGCUUUGGAAAGUUAAUGAAAACAAAAUAUAGUUCUCCAAAUCUAAAAACCAAGCUGAUUAAAAUUGUUGAAAUUGAACAUUUGAGUUGACUCUAGUGUUUGUCACGAUCAAUUUGCAAGAGAAGGACCAAAUUUGACAUGUAAAUCAAAAUAUUUGAUAAAAGAAUUAGUGUGCAUGUUCAUCACCUGAUGUACAGAGAAAAAUACUAAAUAAAUUAUAUAUUCAUGGAUGGUCAACUGAGAGUUAGCUAAGUGUGCAUCACAUUAAAAACUUUUGUAAUAUAUUGUAACUUUUUAGGUUAUUGUCACUAAUUCUCAGUACUUUAGAAUAUGUGAAAUUGUAGAUAGAUUCUUCAUAUAUAUAGAAUCUUCAUACAUAAAAGGUUCACACUCCAUUUUAUACUCCUUAAAUAUGGUAUCGUUUUUAAUUUUUUUUGUAUAAUCAGUAGAAUCAUAUUAUUAAUUGACUGUAGAAAAACAAAACCAUAUAUGGUGGAACAGCAUGGAUGGUUUUGAACAUGUCCACUCACUAACAUUGAACGAUUUAGGAUGAUUUAAACAAGUAAAAGAUGGGAUUGAUUCUAGAAGUAGAGAGAAUGACGUAUUGUUAAGUGCCAAUGAGAAAUUGGUCAAAGGGGAGAUGAGCAAAAAAGCCAAUUGCAAGGUUGGUGGUGCACUCAAACAUAGAUCAGUCAUGCUUCUUAUAAUGACAACCAAGACAAACACACCACCCUCACAAAUCCUCACAAUUUUUUUGGAACAAAAGUAGUUUUUUUUUUUCAUAAUCCAAAUAUAUGGAAUUGAUAUAAUGAUAUAAUUCAUUUCAGUAAUUUUGAAAUUGAUAGUAAUUUCAAAUUUUUAGAAACAUCACUCCCUUCUUUUUCUCUUCUCCUCUUUUCAUCUUCUUCGUUCGUCGAUAAGGAGUGGUUUAGAAUUAAUUUUUUUUGGCAUAAAUCACUCAUCUAAUUAAUUUUUCUAUCUUUUUAUAUAAGUGAUUUUUCGUAUAUUUUUUUUUUUUGUGAUUUUGUCAAUUUAGUACGGCCUAUUAUUUUGUUUGCCAUCUUUGCUGCUAUGUUAGUUUGUUUUUUCGUUUUGUUCUGGUGUUUAUUCUAUUUAAUUGAUAUAUUAGAUUUGAUCUGAAAGCAUUGAUAUCUCAAACACUUUAAUUUUAUUGCAUUGAUAGGCUUUAUCAUAUUUGUAUUUAUAUUUUUCUCAUUUUCCUUAUGUUCUGAGAUAGAAUAUCAAUCAUGGCAAUUUGAAUUUUGAAAUGAUAGGAAUUGAUAUUCACUUUGGCAAUUUUGAAAACUACGGAAUUGAAUUUUGAAAUAAUUUAGAUCUAAAAGAGUUGAUAUUUUUUAACCUUUUUUUUUUUUUUUGUUUUUUUACCUAAAAAAAUAUUUUUUUUCUACAUCUUGUUCGUAUAAGGAUAUUAAUUUAUUUUAUAGACUAAUAAAAAGAUUAACAUCCUUCUUCUUCUUCAGCCUACAAACUAGUUCAUCACCACCACCGACAACCUCCAUAACACUGUUAAACGUUUAAAUCCAACAUCAACAAUAGCAAACAACACCAAGAACCAUUUCCUUCCAAUAAACAAACACAAACUAAAAAUUCUUAUUCAUCGUCAACUCAAACUCAUACCACAAUCUCCGUCAUCAUCAUCGCAAUACCAGAAAACAUUUUCCCUUCAAACUAACAAACCCAAACGAAGAAACUUGCAAACUCGCUUUUGUUGCCUAUAAUUGGAUUUGCACCAUAAGAAUUUUGUUUGUGAAUUUAGAUGGUUUUAUGCUUUUAUGUGGUCGAACGUGGCAUUUGAAGCACUUUCCAUUAACAAUGUUGAUAAACUUUUUUGAACAAACAAUGUUGAUAAACUUAAAGUUGGAUGCAAUAAGCUAUUAAGGUUCAUAGUGCAAAUCGUUUUCUUUUGUUGCUAAGUUUUUUUUUGUUUUUAAAUCUUUCUUUUAUUGGAUUUGGUCCCUUGCCAAUUUCAUUUUUUUUGGUUUUCGUCCCUCUCACUUAUUGACUAAUCAACUCAUUUGCCACGUGUCAUUUGCUUGCCACAUCAUCCAUUGUCACGCCAUCAUCUGAUUGCUCUCAUACAUGUUUUUGUAACAAAUGAUGACAGCAUGAAUGAAAAUCAAAACGUUUGCAUCUUACAUAAUUUGUAUAAAAAAAUGUUUUGAGCCUGAAUUAGAAGAAGCCCGAUCUCUUUUUUUACCAUAUCAUUAAAAAUUUAUAAAGACAAUAUUUUAAACUUUUCUAAUUACCUUUUACGCCAUCAAUCACUUUUAUAUUACCAUUUUUGUAUGUGUAUAGAAUUUUUUUAUACAAUUUCGUCAAAUUUAAUGGAAAAUAUAACAUAUAGCACAACUCUUUUAACAAAGGUUAUAAGUUCAAUCCAGCUAUGAAAUGUAGCAAUGUUAAAUAUUUUGAAGAGAAGCAUUGCGAUUCAUUGCUUUUCAUCAUCUCCCAUUUUGAUGAAUGAAUUGGUAGCAAUUCUCUUUUUAAUUCGUUCAUUCAUGGGUGGAGCUGGGCUUUGUUUCUUCCAUGCCUCCUAAUUGGCCUUUUAUGUAACUUUGCUUUUCGGAAAUUGUUUUUCUCCAUUUUGUUUUUGCUUAUUUUAUUUAUAUGUCUACGUGAGGGACGUUAUACCCCCACACCUCUACACUUAUAUCUUACCCAACAAUUUUUAAAAAUUCCAAUUUUACCCCUUUUACUAUAUAAUCUUUUACACAUAAAUUUUUCACCCUCAUUUUCAACAUCUCUUAAUUAAGGAUGAGUUCACCGCCACAUGAUAUUUUUCUUGAUACUUAUUUCCUUUUUUGUUUUUCACUAUCAAACGUUUCCGAAAAUAUUUCGGAAUAUUCAUAUAUACGUUUACAAAAAUAAUAUGAGAACUAGUCUCUCUUCAAAUGAAUGAUGCAACACAACUUAUCUUUCUCCUUUGAUGGAAAAAAUUGUUCUAAUACCAAUUAUUGAAAGAAAAAAUCAAUAAAAAAUCUUUAAACAAGCGGCAACACAACCACAAAAUAUGUAAAAGAGACAAAAACAAAUCACAAGACUGUUUAUCGACACUUCACACCUUCAUUCAUAAUAUCUUAACAAAAUAUUUGUUACAAAAAUAUGCAUACUUUUACUAGGAAUUGCAAACCCUCUUAUACAAUUAUAAUUUUUGCAUAGAUAUAUGCAAACUAAUCUUUCUCAAUUACAAUUUUUGUAAGAAAAACUACAAACUCUUUUAUGACACACAACUACCCAACCUCUUUUUUUUUUUUUCAUUACUCGAUGUGCGAUGUGAAAGAAUAUCAAUUUUAGAGAACAAAUGACUAUAAUUUAUAGGUGGCCUUUAUGAUUUUUCGCACAAAUUUUCAUACUGUGAAAUGUGAAUAGAUGCAUGUGCAGAGAUGGAGUUCAUAAUUUAAAUCUUACGUUAAAAAUAAAACAAGUUUUUAAUGUUAUAGUUUAAAAAUAAAAAAUUGUUUCUUAUAUACAAUAUUUUUAUGAAUAUUUACAUAGUUUUUAAAAAAAAUUAAUAAUGAAUGGUAUAUUCGUGUCCUGUAUGACACAAUGAAACAUAUGCACAUGAAUAAAUUAUACAUUAAGCCUAAUCAUAUGAUCUGAAAAGAUUUUCUCUACAUCUCGUCGAGCUAGCAAGGUAGAUAGAUGUCAACUAAUAUAUAUACAUUAAUUUUUAAUUUGAAUUUUUUUUAACAGCGUUGGAUUGACUUAUAUGUGAUAUUUUAUUUCAUAUUAGGGUAGAGUCUGCUCAUUGGAAACUGAAGCAAAUGUUGGAAAACAGCAAAGAUGACUUGUGCAAAUGUUGGAAGGGUAUGCACAACAUGAAGUUGCAAUUAGGAAAAAUCAUAGCUUCAUUUCAAAAAAGUUUUUAUGAAGUUGAACACGCACACACAAGUCUAUUUUAUGAAAAAUUGCGUGGAUUUGUUUCUAGAGCUGCUUUAACAUGCAUUGUUGUUGAGUUUGAAAGAGUUAGAUAUAUGGAAAUCGACGAAUCGACAUGUGGUUGCAAACUCAGAACAACAUAUGGAUUGCCUUGUGCUUGUGAGUUAGGAAGAUAUAAAAUUAGUGGUAUACCUAUACCAUUAGAUUCAAUUCAUAUUCAAUGGAAGAAAUUAAGCAUGGAAAAGUCAACAAGAGGAAGACACGGAAACUGGAUAAAACGAUUGAAACUAAUAAAACCUUAUUAUAUGACUAAUAGAAUAAAAACACCCCCUUUGAAUUACAAAGUGUGGCUAGAAGGGAACAAAUACAUUAUACAGUAUAAGCAAAGAGUGUGUUAAUUACUUACAUGACCAUACCACAGGGAGCUUUUCUAUACUUGACAUUAAAUUUAAGACAGUACACGUUUACUUAAGCUUAAUUUUACUAUAUUUAGUUAGCAAAAACAGCUUUUCAACUACAGUAGUUGUUUGAAUCCUUUAAAAAAAUACAAGUAAUUGUUUUAACUUUUAAUCACACAAAUAAACUACUCCAAAAUCCAAAUACAUAAACAAGCUUGGCUAAUGUGCUCUUGAUCUUUACAGACAAAGCAACAAUCACCCUUUAAAGUCUAAACAAUCCCAUUACUUAGAGAUACACAUAAGAAAGCACAAAGAAGCCAAAUCCGAUAUAAAAAAUAAAUGUGAUACAUACACAAGUCACAUAUAAAUAAUACUUCAUCAUCAGGGAACAAUAUAUCAGUCUUUUCCAUGUACAACGAUUCAUUAAGCAAUUAAAAUAGCAAUUGCUAAUAAGAGGCGCGGACAUGACCUCAAAAUAACAGAAUUAUCACAACAGACAACAAGUAAGGAUGGAAUAACACAAUUAAGUAAGUAAUGGACAUAGUAUGAAUAACUAAAUGAAUUCUACGAAAACAAUGUAACUAUAUUUCAUUUCCAUUAAUUGCAUAUAUAGAGGUAACCUUGAUCAGUAGUAUAUCUAUGCCCAUUAAUUAGUAUAUCUAUAAAAAAAAAUAGUAGAUCAUGACAAAAGCUACUUCAGAGAGUUAAACAAAAAAUUAAAAAAGUAAUUUUUUUUUGCGCCUGAACUGGAAUUCUUGGCCAAACGAUUCCGGGAAUAAUUAACCGAAAUACUUUGAACGCGUUUUCCGGAAACUACCGGAACACUUCACACAUGGUUUCCGGAAAUCAACCGGAACACUUUGGUUAACACGAUUCCUCGGACGAUUCCAUGAAAGGACGACGGCAAUAUUUCCAGAAAACGGUUUCGUGGAAGGAUUUAUAACACUAACCCAGAAAAUUUUGAAAAACCUAACCGUGAACGAUUCGUGAAUGAUUCCAGAAAAUAAUUCAGAACAAACACAUGGAAUUAGUGGAUGAGACAGAACACAGAAUCAGAAUAAAUGAUGCUUACUUGUUUGUUGGAAGAAGAAUCAGAAGAGGGUUUUCCAGAAAAGGGGAUUGAACGUUGAAGGAGAAGGGUUUAGAGUGUGUGGGGGUGAAAAGUGAAGGGUAAUUUUGGUAGUUUGUGUUAAAUGUUGGGGUAUAGGUAUAAAUGUAGGGGUGUAGGGUAUAACGUCCCUACGUUAACUCAUGUUGAAAAAAUCGAACGUGAGUUAACUCACGUUGGGCAUAAUUAAGGGAAUGAGCAAUUUAUUGCUUUUUUCAAAUAAAAAGUUGCUUAAAAACACAUGAAAAUGACACAAACCGCUGUAGUUAUCUAAGCUUAGGGUUUUUGGUCAUUUUCAUGUGUUUUUAAGCAACUUCUUAUGUGAUUUUUUUUUUUUUUUUAAUGUUUGUAACAGCUAAGUUUAUCAACUAUUAGUCAGCUUAUAGUUUCUUAUAAUAAUAUGAGAUUUCUUUUUGGGCGAGCGUGUUUAGUUUUUUUUUAAUAAAAAUAGAUAAAUAAAAUAACUUUAAUCAUUUAAUAGUGUUUGUUUAGGUUUUUAUUUUAAAUAUUAUUGUUUUACUCUAAAAUGAAAAGCUAUUAGAAUUAACUAUCUUUAAAAAUUUUUUUUUUUUUUCAAAAAUAUAGAGGUAACACAUGAACAAGUUUUUCUAAAAAAAAAAACAAUUAUUUUUAUAGAAGUAAACAAACAGAAAUAAUUUCAGAUUUUUUAAAGAAACCUCUAAAAAGAUCUCUAGAUUUUUAUAAUACAAAAUCUUUUUUCUUUUUAAGUUGAAACAAAACACCCUUAAUCUCUUUUAUUUGAUUUACCCUAGUUACAUCGCAUAAACCUUGAAUUUCACCAUUUCUAGAAAGAAAAAAAAAGGGUUAAAUAUGUUUUUGGUCUCUAUAAAUAUACCAACUUUUCGUUUUAGUCCCUCUAAAAUUUUCCUUCAACUUUUAGUCCCUAAAAAAUUUUCAAUUACUACUUUUGGUCCCUAUUUUUAAUUUAAUUUUUGUAUUUUUUAAUAAAAUUGUACAGAAAUGUGUAAAAUAUUCUAAAAAAAAUAAAGAAAUUAGAAUUUUUUAACAAAACACAAAUUAAAUAUGAAUUUUUAACUGUAAAAAAUAUAAAAAUUCAUAUUAAAUUCAUGAUUUGUUAAAAAAUUCUAAAUUUUUUUUGAAGUGAUUCUUAUAAUAUUUUGAAUUUUUAUGGAAAAUUUUAUUAAAAAAUAUGAAUUCUAGAUAUGAGUUUACUUUAAAAAGAGACCAAAAGUGAAAAUUGAAAAUUUUAUAGGAACUAAAAGUUGAAGGAAAAUUUUAGAGGGACUAAAUGAAAAGUUGACAUAUUUAUAGGGACUAAAAAUAUAUUUAACCCAAAAAAAAAAUACCCUUAAUUUGUUUUCAAAUUUUAACGUGACCACUGCAGCAACUAUAGACAAGGGAAAAUAUGGCGAUACACGCAGACUCCAUCGGUAAGAAACCUAGGUGUUUCUAGAAAGUUUAGUGGAAUAAUGAUAGUCAUAGUUGAGUCUCAUUGUUUACAAAUGCCAUUUGUAAAUUUUAUUUUGAAGGUGAGAAAAACACAAGAAGGGGGUUGAAGUGUGUUAACUUUUUCUUUUCUUUCUCUAUCUGAAACAAGCAGGUCAGAAGCAGGUAGAAUUCUACUUCUGAAGAGAUGUUCAGAACUAAAUGCAGCGGAUACGAAUAGAGAGAAAGAGAGAAAAAAGACACAGACAAUUUAUACAGGUUCCUUCCACAAACUGGAAGUCAGUCAUGUCCCCCUUGCACUUCCAAGGGGAGUUCACUAUGUAAUAUCUGAUUACAAAUGCUCACUACUAAACUUAGUAUGAGACUUCAAAUUGCUCAAGCACAACUGCAAGAGACUUCCUAUGCUCCUGAACACAAUCAAGAGACUUCUAUUGCUCAAGCACAACUGCAAGAGACUUCUAAAUUCAAACAGAAUUACAAUGAAAAAUGUUUGAGGUUGAACACUUGAUAUACAAUCAAUGGUGUUCACAAUACAAAUCACAGACUCUAGAAUUCCUAAGAUAUAAGCUUUGUUAUGAAAUUCUAAGUGAACUUUGAAGUGAAGAGCAAUUUCAACAGAGUUUUAGCUUAACUGAUGCGUAGUAUUGUUCUUUAGUAACUCUGAGUCUUCACUCCUUUAUAUAGAGUUGUGAAAGAGACGUUGAAAUGUCUUCUUAUUCAAAAUAGAGUCGUUUGAAGCUCUUGAUCUAUCACCAAUGAUCUUUUGCCUGAUAUGGUUAUUGUCCUAUGAAGGAUCAAUUUCAAAUGUGUUCCCAAUGUGAAUAAACAUUGUUGCAGGCAGAGCUGUUAUCCUUGUCUUGUAGCAGAGACAAACUCAUAAUAGUGGAGGUAGUGGUUGUACACUUCGUACAAACGUACUAUGUCAACGCUCUUUGAAGAAAAAGCAUCCAAUGCAUUUCAAAAUAGUCGUGCCACAAUUUUCCAGUCUUCUGCAAUCUUUAGGCGAGUUAGAGUCCUUGAAACAGCUUUUGAAAAUUUAAGUUCAAUCUUCUGAUGAACUGCAGCUUCUGGUGAUACACAGCUUCUGAUGAACUUGCUUCUGAUGACGUCAUCACUUCAGAAGCACUUUGUCUUUAGGCGCACUUCAAACUUCAGGAGCAGUUUUCUUCAGACGCUCGAAGCUUCUCUUUUUGUUGAUAUACUUGCUCUUUAUUUGUUCUUUGAAGACCAAUUUAAUAUGACAAUUUUUUUUCUAUAGUCCUGUACACUUGAACAAAUAUUAGCGUAUCCAAUUGACAAUUUUUAAUACUUUAUUAUCAUCAAAACUCUCAAGGGUUAUUAUUGCUAAACAAAUUUUAUUCCAACACAUUUUACAUACAUAAUCAAUCAAACAAUAUGUUACUCGCAUUUCUUUUUACUUUAUAUUUAGUUAUGUUUUUAUUAGCUUAGUUCUCAAAAAUCACAACGGAAGAACGUAGUUUCUUUCUACUUUAUACUUACACUCUUUAAAGAAUGGAAGAACAUCGUUUCUUUCUUGGCAUAAUCGUUUGGAGGAAAAGAGAAUCAUUGUUGAGAUCUAUUAGCCAGUUCAUCAGCUAAUUUGGCAACAAUUUGUAAUAAUAAAAUUGUUGUAUUAAUAAAAACAAAGCAAGGUGAGGACUAAAAAUUACCAAAUAACUGUGUGAAUAUUGGUAAUAAGAUAGGAAAUAAGAGAAGGAGUGAUAAAGAAAGGGGUAAGGGCUACAAGGGUCAGUGGCCCCAAACCAUCAUCUACGAAGGACACAGUAGCCUGUGCAAUAGCAGCAUGUACAAUAGUGACAUAUUUUACCCUCCAAUUCAUCACUCUUUGCUAGCAAGAAAACUUUUAAAUUUUACCACACAUAAUUAAUUUUCCAAUACAAAUUAAAUGAAAGAAAACACACAUAGAAAGAGAUAUUGUUAUAUAUGCAUACGGGUGGACAAGCAUGCAUGUAAAGUAGCAAAAUAAAUUAUUUAAAUAUUCAUAUGACACAAAAUGAUUGAGGAAUAUAACAAGAGAGGGUAGCUAAAUUUUACACACAAGAAAACAAUAGCCAGAAGAUAAAUAGCUAGGUAUAUUGUUUUCUUCUCCUCGUCUCUUCAUUACUCUUGUCUCCUUAGAUCCUUUCCUCUUGCAACCUUUUUGCUCUCAAUCUGUGAGUUUUUUUUUCUACUUUUUCUUCUGACAUGAAAAAAACAACCACAAAAAAAUCAAAUAUAUAUAUAUUUCAGCUCUUUCUAGCUUCUUUAAAUUAUUUUGUUAUAUAGUUUCUUUAAUUUAACUGAUCUCUUUUUUGUUAUCCUUGUUCCAUGAGAGAAGGAAACAUGUUAAUGAAAUUUUUCUUUUAGAAGAAGAAUUAAACAUUUGAUUAUUAAGUUUUUGUUUAAAAAUUUCAGAUUGCAAAAUAUAUAAUUAUGGCGGCUGCUUCUUCAUCUACAUCAUUCUUUGGAAUCAGAGAAGAAAAUCAAAGUCAAAUAACACAUCAUCAUCCUCAUCCUCAAUCAACUACUACUUCUGCUACUUCCUCAGCUCCUUCAACCACAGUUCCUCAAAAGAAAAGAAGGAAUCAACCUGGAACACCAAGCAAGUAGCUUAAUUAUUUUUAUUUUCAUUAUUACUUAAAGCUUCAACAUGCACACACCCUUCUCGAAUUUUUUUUUUUUUUUUUUUUUGUAUUAUUUUCUCAAAAAACAAGCAUAAUGAAACCCUAAAUCAUGAACAUGAGUUAGGGCUCUGAAUUUCUUUUACAAAAAAGCUAUAUAAGAACUAUGUUUAGGGUGCAUGCAGUCUCCUCCAAUUUUAUUCUCAAAAGCAUAUGAGACUUCGGUUUUAAUUUUUGUAAUAAUUUUUCUAACUUCUACUGUUUUUUACUACUAUUACCAUGAGUUUGUGGCUUUUAAAUGGAAAAAAUAACAAUAAAACAUAGUUCUUCAUUUCAUGGUGCAUAUAUAUUCAAUUAUGAAUACUUCUUUUGAUGUUAAAAAAACUAGAAUUUUAUAAUAUUUUUCUUAUACAAAAAAAUAUAUAAUAUUUUGUUGUUUUGGCAUUUUUCAUGGUAAAAAGAUCCAGAUGCAGAAGUGAUAGCACUAUCUCCCAAGACUCUAAUGGCAACAAAUAGAUUUAUAUGUGAGGUUUGCAAUAAAGGGUUUCAAAGGGAGCAAAAUCUUCAACUUCAUAGAAGAGGACACAAUCUUCCUUGGAAGCUAAAGCAAAAGUCCAACAAAGAGCCAAGGAGAAAGGUUUAUUUGUGUCCUGAGCCCACAUGCGUCCAUCACGACCCUUCAAGAGCUUUAGGAGAUCUAACUGGAAUUAAAAAGCAUUUCUCUCGUAAGCACGGUGAGAAGAAGUGGAAAUGUGAAAAAUGCUCAAAGAAAUAUGCUGUUCAAUCUGACUGGAAAGCACAUUCUAAGACUUGUGGUACUAGAGAAUAUAGAUGUGAUUGUGGCACCCUCUUCUCUAGGUAACAAACAUCAUCUUUAUAUUUAUAUCUUCACAUCGAUGUUAGUCUAAUUAUAUUUCAUAAAUAUGAAUUCAUCACUCUAUAUACAUAAUAUAUGCUACACUUUUGCCAAAUGUUAGGGUUAUACUUAUAUGGUUUGGUAUUGAAUAUUAUUUUAUUUUAUAGAAGUUAGUGUUUGAUUAUUUUUUUACUACCAAUUUUAUUAUAAGAAUUCGAUUAUUUUAAUCAUGUUUUUUUUCAUCAUUCAAUUGCAAGGAAAAUGGUCAUAAGUCAUAACAAUCUGAAGUUUUGCAAGAAAGCAAGUAAAAUCCAACCAAACCGUAGAUCAAACUCAUAGACUCCUUAUAUAUCGUUCUCUUUCUUUCCUCUUCGUAUUGAGCUCUAAUUUAUCUAAAUUGAAGUACUCUUUAAACUUCUUUACUAAGGAACCUUUUACAUAUAAAAAGGUGUGUGUAUAUAUAUAAAUAUAAUAAGUUGAAUUUUUUUACAAUAAGUAAAAACACACAAAGGUUAAAUUUGAACAACAGUCUCUUUUAUGUUCUUAUCCCAAAAAAAAGUGAACAAGAGCUUUCACCCUUUCUCUGUUAGUUUGUGUUUGGGUGUUAGUGAAGGUGUAUAUUGUAUGGCGCAGGAGACUGCAUGCACGUGAGUACACUGUUCAAAUGUAGUACAAAAAUUGAAAUGUUUGAAGGAAAAAAAAUCAACUUUGGUUUUAGGGAACCGUGCCCAUAAUCUUUUAACGUUCACGUGUAGUGAAACAACAUAAUAACUUUGUUCUCAUAUGAAAUGGAUUGGAGGAGAUGCUGGGUUUUGUUCUCUUUCUUGUUAGCUAUUUCUAGUUUUCAAAAUUCAAAUACAUUUCCAUGUUCUUUUUAGCAAUGGGUCCAAGGUGACUAAUUUCCAUGUUACUAACAGAAAAUUCUCUUCAUUAAUUGGUCAUGUUUCUCAUAUAGAUUUGCUAGAAAUUAUGUGAUAUAACGAAUUAUCUUGGUAGAAUAUAGACAAGUAUUGAGGUUGCUUGCAUUUAUUAAGUAGGCCCCAUAUUGAAAUUUUUGAGUAUUGACUUUCAUCAUAGUUGCAAACAAUUCUCUCUUUUAUUGAUCAAAGAAAGACCUCAAAUUAGAAGUUUGAUUUAGAAAUUCUUGGUUUGUUUCAAAUUUUGGCAUAAUCCCAUGGGCCCUCUACUUCAAUUGUAGUUUUCUUAAUUUCAACAUACUAUACUAGUUUCAAUUAAUUCCAAUUAAAACAAUUAGGUUACUCAUAUUCAUUACACAAAUAUAUGGGAUUAUAAUAUGAACUUCCAAAGGCGAACAUAACUAUUUUUGGUAAAUUUUAAUACAAUAUUAGAUAUGUUCUCCUUUUUACUAUAUAUGGUAGGGGUCUACAUUAUACCCACCCAAAAAAAUUGACAAUGAUAUAUAUAUGUUGCUUAAUUCUUUGUAAUUAAUUUUGGUGCAGGCGUGACAGUUUCAUCACUCAUAGGGCAUUUUGUGAUGCACUAGCACAAGAGAGUGUAUUAAGACACCAUAACCCUUUUGGGAGUACUCAUCAAUUGUAUGCCACAAACCAUCACAUUAGUUUAGGCCAAAUAUCCCAUCAAUUGCAAAAUCAUCAGAACCAAAUUACAUCAUCCACUAGCAACAAUAACAACCUUUUGCGCCUUGGAUCAGCACCACCAAAAUUUGAACAAAACUUAAUCUCAUCACCACCUUUAAAUCACUCUUCAUCAUUUGGACACUCAAUCCCAUCUUCAUCACCAUUCUUCAAUAUGAGUGAUAUUUCAAAUCAAUCCUUUGAAGAACAACAAUCUCAACAAGGACAAUUCUUAAACAAACAACUACAUGGUCUAAUGCAUCUUCCUGAUCUUCAAGGCAAUACAAAUACAAACAAUUCAAAUUCUUCCAAUCUUUUCAACCUUAUGGUUCAUGAUCAAUUCAACAACAUGAGUAGUACCCAAGGAACAACACUUUACAUUAACAACAAUAGCUCUUUAAGUGAUCAUCAAGUUGGUUUUGUCAAUUCAAUGCAACAUGGUCAAAACAUGUCUAGUCCUCACAUGUCUGCCACUGCAUUGCUUCAAAAAGCUUCUCAGAUUGGUUCAACUAAUUCUACCAACAAUAACAAAGGUAGUAAUAAUGAUCAUAAAUCAGGUGAUAGGGACUUUGUUGUGUCUGAUCACAACAACAUCAAUGCCACUUUUGGAAAUAGAAGUUCAAGUAUUGAAAAUGAUCAUGACAACAACGAUCUUCAUGGAUUGAUAAACUCUAUUGCAAAUGGAAACACAUCAUCCAUAUUUGGCAAUGAAAGCAAUCUUAAUAUGAGAUUUGGUGGAUCUGAUAAGUUAACUUUAGAUUUUCUUGGUGUUGGAGGAAUGGUCAGAAAUAUGAGUGGUGGAUUUUCACAAAGUGAACAACAACGUGACAUGAUGAAUACUAGUAUGGUUUCUUUGAAUCAUGACCUAAAAUCAGCACAUUCAAGUCAACAUUUUGGAAGCUCAAAUAUCUUGCAAUGAAGAUUGGGGUGAGAAAUUUAUUAAUUUAAGGAAAUAUUGCUUGUUAGUUACAUGUGAAUUAUUCAUUAAUUAAGUAGUAAACUUUGUUUCAAACAUUUAUUUAUUUUAUUUUUGUUUUCCUCAAAAGAAGUGCAGUUCAUUGGUAAAAUGAGGUUCCAAUUCUAGAAAUUACUACAAAUUACAAUCCCUUAUUUUAUUUUAACACGUCCCUUUCCUUAUUCUUUGCUCUCUAUGAUGUGAUAGAGAGAUGUAAUAAAUUCACUUUUGAAUUUCAUGUGUGAGCGAACAUGAGAUAAUAAAGUUUAUAGAAAAAAAAAAUUGAUUCAUUAUAGAUUUUCCUCUAAGAAAAUUAUUUCUCAAUCACAGAGGGUAAAAUUCCAUGCUCGAACCAAGAAAAAAUAUUCAACCUAACAAUUUCAGCAUUGUUAGUUGUGCUAGGUUUUACGGACCAGGACAUCAUCGUUGUCUACCAAUUUUUUUUUACAGAUUUGAGGCGAUUUAAUUUGGUUGAUAAACACGAGUAAAUUACUCAAAUGCCCCUUGGCAGUUAACUGCCGAAAUUUUAAAAAAUCGGCUGCAGUUAACUGUCGAGAAAUUUCAAACCUGAAAUUAAAUAAGGAAAUACACCUAUGUUUUCCUUAAUUAAAUUUAAAUCUUUAAUCCUUUUAAGGAAUUAAACAUAAUUAUUUUUAUGAUUUCAUUCAUAUGAUUUUGUUGCUAUAAAUGAAGAAAUAUGAGAGAUGAAUAAUAUCUGUAAUCGGUAGUUAAUAGACCUAAAAUGAUGAUUCAAUAAAAAAAAUGCAACAACAAAAACGUUACAAAUGAUAGAAUAAUUAUAUUUGUAAUUAUUAGUAAUUAAUUUCAUUGAUGUUGUUAUUAUUCAUAAGUUUGACUAACCUAUUAUUACUUUAUACUAAUAUUUUAGAUAUUAUUACUUUAAUUAACAUGAAAAACGCAACAACAAAAAAUAAGGGGGAUUUAUUGGAUUAAGAUUCUAUGGGAUUUUAAAAGAUUUUUUAAUUAUGAAAAAGUCUUGUGGUAUUCAAUCAAAACUUUUUGCAGCCGGUUCUUUAAAAUUUCAACAGUUAACUGUCGAAGGAUAUUUGAGUAAAUUACUCGUAUUUCUCAGUCAAACCAAAAGUGUGAACAGCAAUACUCAAUUUCAAAAACAUGUAUAUGCCACGGUAAAUAAAGCCAGUUGUUGACUUGUUGAUAGUUGUGUUGUUAUUACUUGUGUACAAAUGCUUACCAAACGAGGGUGGGAUGUUGGCACUCUGUUAUGUUAAGAAUCUUCACGUUUUGGCUAUAUUCCAAUGGAAGCGACAGAGCCUCAUUUCCGUUCAAUUUCAUCUUUGUUUUUUUAUAUACGACGUACAAAUACUAACUAACUAAAGGUACAUUAACUUUAAAAUAAAGCAAGAAAUUUUGUAGUAUUGCUUACCUAAUAUAUAUAUACCUUACUUUUAAAAAUACAUAUUAAAAUAUAUGUAAUAAAAAAUUAUAUUAAAUGCUAUAUAAAUGUUAAAUGUUAGAGUCUCACAUUGAAUAUGAGAAUAGUAUAACAAUAUGUUUACAAGUUAUUUAUAAUAGGUUCUUAAUAAUAAUACUAAAUAAAUAUCAAAACUUAUUUAUAUAGAAGUUAUUUUAGUAUUAUUAAGAGCCUAUACUUUUUUUUUGAGCAAAAGAGCCUAUACUUAAUUGAUAAGAAAUUGUUACCAAUAUACCAACUCCAUUAAGUACCAUAAAUUUGAGAAAGAGACCUUGCAUAUUUUUCAGGUGAUUUUGUUGACAUCUUUUUCUCUUAACACUAGGAAGGACCCUUUAGUUUUUCAUUGUAAUAUAAAUAUUCUUGUACAAGUUGACUACCUUUGAAUUUGCAUGUCGUCGUUGAUGGCUAUAUAUAGGGUUAGAUCUAACGUCAUUGUUCAUUUGGUGGAAGAUUUUUAUGAGGAGUGUGUGGUACAUAACAUAUGCAACAUAAAUAACAUAUUAGCAGUAGUCUCUGCAAUGUUCGUUAUUGUAAUUACUGGUAAAAUAGCUGCGACACUUUUGUCGCAUGUAAAUUCCUUCUUCACAUGGAAAUCACCCGUCCGUGAGUGAGUGAAUGAAUGAGUGACUAUUAACCAACCAACCCAGUCAUUUCAUUUCGCCUUCACUCUCUACCCGUUACAGUUUUUCUAACUUUCUUUCUUUAGAUUGAGUAACUUCAAUAAUGCAAUGCAACUAAAGAUUAUUACUUACAACUUCUAUGCUCAAAUAAUUGUUGCAAUGCAAUUAAACACUCACUCAUGCGUGUCCCCGUGAGCCUAAUCCAGUUUGUAGAGACAUUGCAUUAUAUAUAUAGAGGUUGGGGUUCAAACUCAAACACUCUACUUAUUCACCUUAAAAAAAAUGAAUUUAAGUCAAUUGGCUACCUGACUAAAAAAAAACGCACUCAUAUGUUUUAUUUCAUAAGCUGGUUUUAGACCUUUUUAUCUGAAAAACUUAUCUCACAUUGUAGUUGAUAUGUAUGGUUAGACCUUUUGUGAGGUUUGUGUGUCCCCUAGUCUAUCACUCUCUCACAGUUAAACUACUUUGUUUUUGAGAGGUUUGUAUACCUUACUUAAAAACAACUAUCAUUCUCUCAUCAAUUUCAUCAUUAAGCUAUUAAAAUUAACUAAAAAGUACCUAAACUAUUCUCACAUAUAACUAUUAGCCCCUUGGUUGACAAAGUUAAUUUUUUUUAUGAUGGUUUAUGGACUAAAUUGAUAUAUUUUUUAUAGUUUAAAGAUCUUCUAGUUGAUUUUAAUAACUCGAAGGCUAUAUAUGUGAAAAAAUUGAUAGUUUAAGGAACAAGUUGAUUGUUUAUUCUUAAUUUGAUUGAAGUCUACUGGCACACAAAUUUACAAGGAUACGGUGGAUAUGGGGAAGUUAUACCUGAUAUCCCUACAUUUAAUCUUUUACCCCCUACAAAUUGUUGAAAAUGCCAAAUUUACCUUUUAUCAUUUCACUUCACCCUGCAUAAAAUUUUAGCCAACAAUACACUUCCGAGAUUUAAUACUCCAAUUUUCGGAAUAUUCAUAUCAAAUUUUUAUGGUAGAUUAAUUUGUAAACCGGAACAAUUGAGUAAAGAAUUAUUAUCAGAAUUCUUUCUUCUUUCAUCGAGGUUUGAGAGACAAUGAAAGAUGGAAAAUAGAAUACAACAACCUGUAUUAGUUAAUAUAAAAUUAAGUGCAAAGCAAAGAUCAUGAUACCAAACCUCAUCAAUUCUUCUUCCAAUUCAUUUUAUUUAGAUCUAAAAAAAUGAAAGGCCGUAUAUUUCUGGAGUAGAAUUUUAGAUGUAAGGUUGGGAAAUCAAAAAACCUGGCUAAAACUGCAGAAACCUGUUUUCUGAAUUCUUUCUAAAAAAACAGUGUAAAAAAAUGCUUGUCUCUUUAUCUGUAGAUCUAAAAAAAAAUCAUUUCUAAUUCAUCUUGUUUGGAAAUAUGAAUACGAAAAGUUGUAUAUUUUAAUUUUUUUUAUUUUUACAAAAUACCGUUGUUGGGAAUGUGAAUAAUCUAAGAUUAAAUGUAGGGGUGGUAAAAGAUUAAAUGUAGGGGUAUAUGGUAUAAUAUCCUGGAUAUGGUAGGCUUAUAUUACUUAGAACCCAAAUCAUGUUACUUAGGCCCGUCAUCAUGGACUUUUUUCAUGUGGUUUCCAUGCAGGCUAGUUGAAUAUUGCUCUUUAGGCAUCCAUGUUUUGCUCUCAGACAUUUUGAAAUUAUUAUUUUACCUCAAUGAAAAUUAAUUACCAUUUGUUGAUGAACGAUGGUUAGUUUUCAUUCUCUUAUGAACAGUAGUUAAUUGUCGUUCUAGGGCAUUUUAUGUGGUUCAGAUUGCGCAGACAGUUUUUGUGGUCCACGAUACAUAAAAACUUCUAUAAAUUGGUGUGUUUGGUUCAUUUGAAACCACACCACAAAAUCAUGAAUAUUUAUCUAGUAGAUCCGAACACCAAAUUAGCGCAGUUAACUACAACGGGGAAAACUCAAUAUGUUUAGGGUUCAGGUUAAUGCUAUAUCGGUUGACUUGAAGGAACAUAGUUGGACCAAAUUAACAGUCGACUCAACCACAAAGACACAAGAAAGGUGGAAAGUGUUGAGUAUCGUCAUCCAUUCGUUUGACUCAUAUGAAAGCGUCAAGUUCACCCAUAUGAAGUUCAAGAACAACGACAUCGUGAGAACCAUCAAGUUAGACGCUUCAUUGGUCAAAUAUUUUUUAGAUGUUCCGGAAAGUUUGAUUCAGAUUAGGACCUUCAAAGAAAACAGGACUUGCAUGGAUAGACCAAAAGAAAUAAGUAUGUCUUAUUCGUGAUUUUGUAUGUGUUUUAUUAUGUUGUUAAAUUAUGUUAGUGUAUUGUGUUUUAUUAUGUUUAAUGUAUGUUUUUGUUAACUUAUGUCAUUGAAAUUAUGUUAAUGUAUUGUAUUUUAUUAUGUUUAAUGUAUGUUCUUCUGAGCUUUCCUUUGUAACUAAUGAUUAACUACAGUUUCUUCUGAAAACAACAAUUAACUAUUGUUCCUAGAAUGGGAGUUAACUCUUGUUUAACAACGAAAAAUAAUUAAUUAUUAUUUCGGAUAAAAUAGUCAAUUUGAGACGUGUUAAAACAAAGUAUGAGUGUCUAACGAACAAUUUUCAAGAUAGUUUAGUCCUUUUUGGGUUCUACCUUUUUUUUUUAUGAGUAACUUCUACACCUAGUUUCCAUUCUUUUUUGUGUUAAUUGUCCGAUUUCUUAGCAUGUGCGUAACUCACGCAGCGUGACUUAAGUCACACAUGUGUAAAAACUAAGUCAUGUAUUUUUUACACUUGCGCUAAUUAACUAACGCAAGGGUAUUUUCGGCAACACUGCAGGGCGCGAGUGUUUUGUGUUGGGUGAAGAGCAGAAUUCUAAAGUCAUAUAUAUAUAUUAUGGUUUUAAAAGGGUAAUUGCUAAAUCAGAUUCAUAGGAAGCAACUAAGUUAAUAUUGAAAGGGCAUGGUAAAGGGCACCCUUGUUCUCAUAUCAUUUCUCAUAUUUCUAAUUUUCUUGUCUAAUUCAUGAGUUACAAGUUUCAACGUGUCUAACGUGAAGCCAACAAAGUCGUGAAUGCUUUUGCAAGGAAUAUCCAACUUCAAAGUAUUAGCGCAGCUUUAACUUGAUGAACAAACUUAGAGUUUUCUAGGGUUUUAAUUUGAUUUUGUUGAAAUAGAGAGAGAAUGAGAAGAAUGGGUGAAUGAGGAGACAAGAAGUAUUAAAGUUGUGAUUUCAUUUAUAUGUAAAAAUACACAUGAAAGUAGCUUAUAUACAUGGUUUUUUGCUAGGUUACUUGAAGUACAAGUCAUAUAACAAACCCUAAAUACCUUAAGCUAAAAUCUAGUAAAUUUGUAACAAACUAUUAACAAACUAAACUAACUAGAUUUCUAAUGUGAUUAACCAAACAAGCUUGAUUAGAUCACUAACAAACUUGAAUUAUCAACUAACACAAAGUUGCGAUAAUAUAAAAAUAAUAUCAGAACUAGUCUCUCUUCAAAUGAAUGAUGCAUCACAACUUAUCUUUCUCCUUUGAUGGAAAAAUUUGUUCUAAUACCAAUUAUUGAAGGAAAAAAAUCAAUAAAAAAUCUUUAAACAAGCGGGAACACAACCACAAAAUAAGUAAAAGAGAUAAAAACAAAUCACAAGCCUAUUUUUCGAUACUUCACAGUUCACACCUUCAUUCAUAAUAUCUUAACAAAAUAUUUGUUACAAAAAUAUGCAUAGUUUUACUAGGAAUUGCAAACCCUCUUGUACAAUUAUAAUUUUUGCACAGAAAUAUUGCAAACUAAUCUUUCUCAAUUACAAUUUUUGUAAGAAAAACUACAAACUCUUUCAUGACACACAACUACCCAACCUCUUUUUUUUUUUUUUUUUUUUUCAUUACUCGAUGUGCGAUGUGAAAGAAUAUCAAUUUUAGAGAACAAAUGGCUAUAAUUUAUAGGUGGCCUUUAUGAUUUUUGGCACAAAUUUUCAUACUGUGAAAUGUGAAUAGAUGCAUGUGCAGAGAUGGAGUUCAUAAUUUAAAUCUUACGUUAAAAAUAAAACAAGUUUUUAAUGUUAUAGUUUAAAAAUAAAAAAUUGUUUCUUAUAUACAAUAUUUUUAUGAAUAUUUACAUAGUUCUUAAAAAAAUUAAUAAUGAAUGGUAUAUUCGUGUCCUGUAUGACACAAUGAAACAUAUGCACAUGAUUAAAUUAUACAUUAAGCCUAAUCAUAUGAUCUGAAAAGAUUUUCUCUACAUUUCGUCGAGCUAGCAAGGUAGAUAGAUGUCAACUAAUAAGUUGAUGAAAUCGGCUAAAAAAGAUUCCCAGUUGAAGUUUAUUAUUUUUUUGGUGCAACCCAGUUGAAGAUUUUAUUAACUUUGAUGAUGGCUCUGAACUACCAAGUUUUCUAGAACUUGAACAAGUCCUUAAUUUUAGUUGAAUUGCAAUACUAUGUCUAUAUGUAUAGUAUACCGUUUCUGGUUUCAUAGUCUGUUAAUUUUAAGGAAUUUUUUCAAGUGGCUCAAAAAAAACAUAUACAGUACAUUCUUUAGUUUUAUUUACAUCGUUUUCAAUCUCUUUCGCUUUUUUAAAUAUUUACGCAGAAAACAUUUUUUUUUUUUUUUCAAUCAGAAAGAGGCAAAAUUAAGAUUUGCAUUGGUUUUAGUCAUCACCUACUACAUUAAAUUACUAUUUGUGGAAAAUAUUGUUUAUAGCGUGAAACUGUGCUCUGACUGGCUCACAUGCAAACGGACAGUGGCAAUAUUGUUUAAGGAAGUAUUAAUCUUUUUUUUUUUUUUUUUUUUGACAGAAACCAUAUAGUAUUAAUCUAUUAUUACUACUAUAUAUGCAUAAAAAAGGACCAAUUAACCGACAUGCUUUGAGUUAUUUUGUGUUUUUUUUUUUUAUUGUUUCUGAAAAAAUCAACCAACAUGCUUCUUUUUUUGCGCUAACUAAAACUAAUUUAUUUAUGCUACUAAUCAAUUUAUUAAGACUAAAACUUGAGUACAAGUUAGUCUUUUUUUUUGUAGUUGGUGACCUACAAGUGGUACUCUUGUACUCAUUAUACUCAAAGUCAAGGGUACAUGCGUAUGUGUUAUGCUGAAUUCGAAAAUUCAUAGUCAAGACCCAGCAAUAUCAAGAUAUAUACACACAUGUCCUAAAGUGCAUUCUGGAGAAUAAGAACUACAAGUCUAAAGUUUUUCUUUUUGUUAGUAAAGUUAUUUUAGUCCAAGUUUAGACUAUACAACGCUGACUAUGAAAUAUGAAAGGAAAAAAAAACCUUCAAUUUUUGUCAAAAAAAUAAAUUCCAUUGUCUCUAACUAAUUAUUGAAAUUUUAAACAUGUGUUUGGUCUAACGGUAUGGUAGAAAAAAUCACGGCAAAAAUUCACGGUAACUACAAAAUCUAAAAAUUUGUAAUUUCUUUGAAAUUUGAGUUUGUAACUUCGAACGUCAAAUAAUCGUUCAUUAAGUCUCUAAAGCUCACAUGAUCAGACCAGCUUUGAUUGCAAAAUAUGACCAACUAAUUACUAAUAAACAUUUAAUUUUGUUAGCAGAUCAAUUUAUCUGUUUAAUGUUAAAAUAAAUCUGAUCCAAUUCAAUACUUUUGGACAUAGAUUGAAAUGGUUUCCCCCCCCCCCCCCCCCCCUUUUUUUUUUUUUUUUUUGUAAACUAGGUAUCCUCCGCGCGCAACUGCGGAGACUAAUCCCUCGAGCAUUGUGAGACCCAAAUGGACGGCAGACUCUCCCUAAGAGUUUUAACGCUGCUGGAGGUAUUGUAAAUAAUAUUUUGUGUUAUAUUAUUUUUAAGAGUGUAUAUUUCUAUAUAAAAAGAGUGAGUUUUGCCUUCAACCUCGAGGUAAUCGGUUUGAGACCUAGGCACUGAGAACAUGAGUUUUUUCGAUUAGCUCUUUAAAAAAUUAUUUAUAGGAGGAAUAAUUGUUUUUAUGGAAUUUGUCGUGUAAUAAAAAUCUAAAUCGUCUAGUCUACAAUUUUGUAUAGUCUUCAAUUAUGUUGUGAAUUCGGGCUUUGAAACUUCACACCAAUCCAAACUAUGAUGUGUGGAGAAAGUAUCAAUGGCAACCAACAACCAAAUUAACCAUAAGCAAUAACAAUAAUAUAUACCAAGUCUAUAAACCAAGUGCAUAGCAAAAUCACAAUCCAACCAAAUAAUAAACAAGAUAAAAGAGUAAAGAAAAAUAGACAACAACACCAAGAGAUUGUUCACCCAGUUCGGUCCAACCAUGACCUACUCUGGAGGAGAGAUUGAUCUCUUCAAUCCACUAUCAAUGAGUUCUUACAAAGAGAUACAAAUGAGUUACAAGAAAUUAGCUUCAACAAGCUCACAAAAAACAACCCUAAUUUCUACCAAUUUUCCCAAUCUCACCAAUGAACAAGACACUCAUGAUUUUUACUCUCCCAAGGUGUUUACAAUUGUUUCACAACUCUAGAAUCUAACCCCCAAAAGAGAACCAACUCUUAGCCUUUGAUUUCACUUAGGAUCUUCUCUUUUGGUUUCACAAGACUCACCCAAGUUGCUCGCAAAUGACUCUCCACUCAUGUGUUUCCCAACCCCAUGAAUCUUCUCCAAAAGGCACCAACCCUUUUCACAAGAGCCCCCUCUUUUGGUUCUCCAAGAUUCACAUCUUGAAGCUUUGAACCUCACCCAAAGACCCUCAACCUUUAGUAUCUAAAACCCUAAAAGUUUCAUCCUUUGGUUGUUAUGGGAUUCACCAAGCUUACCCAACAAAUGGAUCAGGGAGUGUUUAAAACAUGUUUCAGAUCUGUCAAAAUCGUGUCACAUUUUGCCUUCAGAACCAAACAUGCAUUCGGCAUCAGAAAUCGUGACACGGUUGCCAAAUCGUGUCAUGAUUCUUCACUUUCAUAAAGACUUAAUUUUGAGUCAUAUAUAUACCAACAAAUUCAAAUUAUAUAAAUGGACGGUAUAUUCUUUAGUAAAAGUAUUAUUUCACAAUUUAAUACGUAUUAUUAAAAGAAAUUAGAAACAAUUAUCAAAAAAUUAUGAUAGAUAAUAUAUUAAACUCGUCUAGUGUGUGUGUAUUUUUGAAGGAUAGUGUGUGUGUGUAUUAACAUCAUUCUCUAAUUAUUUUUGUAGGGAAACAAUGUUGGUUAAAUUGAUGUGUACUUUUUUUUGUAAAAAAUAAUCGACGUAUUUUUAAAUGAGAUUUACAUGUAGAGAGAGACAGCGGUAGACAUAGUAGUAGAACAAUUAAAAUUUAAAAGACCACUUUACAAAUUGCACCAAGUGGUCCUCUAAAAAAGAUCACCGACAGUUGCUUCACUUUACCUUCAUAUAUUUUAGAGCAAUGAUAUUUGAACAAUUAUUUAGUACAACAUUUUUUGACAAUCUUCUUUUUCUCUCUUUUUAUUGGUCAAAAAUAAUGAAGAGAAAAAAGAAGAGAUAGAGUAAAAAUAUAAUAUGAAUAUGAGAAAAAAAAUUGUCUAAAAAUUAUCACAAAAUGGUUGUACAAAUAUUAUUUCUCCAUAUUUUAGACACAGGCUAAUCAUUAAUUAAUUUGUGUAAAAAAAAACAAUAAUAUUAUUUUGACAACAUUAUUCAACACCUUAUCUUUCUUUCAAAAAACAUUAUUCAACACCUUAUGUUCAUAUUAUCAUUUGAUUUUCUUAAUUAUGUUUUACAUCAGUCACAUCAAGUGACAUUUUACACGCUUAUCAAUUUUUUUUGUCAAGUAGCCUAGUGUUUAGAACUCAUAUAAUUUAAUUGUGAAGAAAUGAAGUGUCAGAGAUUCGAACUCCAACCCCUGCAUAUAAUAUGCAAUAUCCCUACCAACUGAACUAAGCUCACGAAGAUCGCGGUUAUCAAUUUUUGUAGUUCAAAUAACAUCACUAAAAAAAGCUACGAGGCAGACGCACAAAUUUUCAUUGAGCAGUUGUGUUAAUUAAUUUUAUAACGCAAGGAAAAUGGUGAAGUUUUUGUGAAUAGAGAAAUGAUAUAUAUACAAUCAUUUUCAAACAACUUUUGUAAUAACUUUAUCUCUCAUUUUUAUAUUUUAUUUUUAUUUUUUUCUCUAUUAUUUUGGUUUUCGUUUAUGAUUUUUUGUAAGAAAAUGAUUGUCUAUGUAGUUAUCAAUCACAUUGAUGUUCAAAUAACAUUGCUUUUGUGAAUAAUGCAAAAUAGUUUCUCGGAACAAUCAAUUAUUCAAUUGAUAUUUACGAAAUUAGUUUUUGUAGGGUGUCCCUAUAAAUCACAUAUACUUUAAAACAGUCAUAUGUAUUCACGAUUCGAGAUCUUAUAAAAAAACCAUUCCAGAUCAUGUAUGAAAAUGAAAUAUAUAUUUUUUUUGACUGGUGUAUGAAAAUGAAAUAUUUUCAAAAAUAAAAUAUACUCUCUGCCCAUAUAAUGUCAGCGUAGGUGUCGGUGUUUUUCUACCGACUAUAAGAAAAACUGUAAAAUAAAUAAAACAAUAUAGUAAUUUAAAUUAGUGAUUGUAAAUUAUUGUCUUAAAUGUAUAGUUCAAUAUAAUAGAUUAAAAAUGAUGAAAAAAAUAUUAAUUUAAGAGUAGAAUUGAAAUAACAUAUAUGUUUUCGAUAGUUUAACUAAAUUGAUAAAGACAUUGCAUAAUAAUAUACAAGUGUUUUGAAAUUCCAUUUAUUCAUUACAUGUGAAUUUUUAGAUAUUAAACUAUUUGGAAAAUAAAAUAAAAUAUCAAAUAAUUAAGGUUUAAAUAUGUAAGUAGUCCCUGUAAUUUCGCGUAUUUUUGUUUUCGUUCCUGUAAGUUAUUUUGUUCUAAAACAAACUCUGUAUUUUGCUAACCUUUUGGAAAAGGUCCUUGCCGUCAGCUUCCGUCAACAAAAACGCCAUGGUGGCUAACGGAGCACACGUGGCAGUUCAUGAGUUGGCAAAGUUGAUGAGAUGGAAUGAGAGAUGAUAAGUUGUUAAAAUACAGGGACUAAAAUCAAAAACGUAAAUUGACACAGGGAUGAAAUUAAAAAAACGUUUAAUCUUCUUUUUCCUCUCAAAUUUCAGUCUUCUUCUUCCUCUCAAACUUUCCCCAAUCUAUCCCAUACCUUGCGCCCUUGAACCAAAACUCAUAUCCUUCAACAAUUUAUUCUAAUUCCAUUACUCAAUCAUAUUGUGUGUUUUGAUUGUAAUGUUAAGUUGAAACAUUGUAUGCUACUUAAGUUUGAUUAAUUUAGUGAUGGUUGUUGCGAUUGAUUGCAAAUUCAUUCAUAAAGUUUGUAGAUAAUAAAGGCAAGAAUACAUCUUUUUCAUCCCUCUUUUUUUUCCACAAUUCCCUCUUAUUCUUCCAGAUUGCUACAAUUACCAUACAUAAAUAGUCAGAUCCCCUUUCAUCUUUUCUCACUCACAUUCAAAUUCAAACUCUAAUUUCUCAAAUUUUUGCUUUUGAAUUGUGUAAUUUUGUGUUUUUAUGUAAUUGGUGUAGAGAGUUUAUGUUGUUUUAAUGUGUUGAUUAAGAGUGGGUCUUGUUGUUGUUGAUUGAUGAUUAUUAGUUUUGUUUAAAAAAAUAUAUAUGUUUGUUGUUUUCUUUCUUUUCCUGGGUUUGGUGUUGAUGAUUUAUGAAUAUGGUGAUGAAGAUGAAGAAGACAAUGAAGGAAGAAGAAGAAUAAGAUCUUGAUUUUAAAUUUGAAAUUUUGAUUUUACGUUUUUUAUUUUAGUCCCUGUGGUAAUUUACGCUUUUGAUUUUAGUCCCUGACUUUACACAACUAAUCAUCUCUCAUGCCAUCUCAUCAAAUGUGCCAAGUCAUGACCUGCCACCUGUGCUCCGUUAGCCACAAUGGCGUUUUUGUUGACAGAAGCUGAUGGUAAGGACCAUUUUCAAAAGGUCAAAAAGAUACAAGGUUUAUUUUAUAUAAAAAAAAAAACUUACAAGGACGAAAACAAAAAAUACGCGAACUUAGAGGAACCUUUUACAUAUUUAAGCCAAUAACUAAUAGCACUUAUUUUGGUACAUUUCUCUUUUGCAAAUGUGAAACUUAAUAUUGGAUGGGGUCAAUAAUUUUGAGAAUGAAUAAACCCAUUAUUUAGUCUUUUAAUUUUUUUUUUCCAUCCAUCAGGUUUCUAAACUAUUUACAAACACUAAAUGUCCUUAAGACAUAGCUCAAGUAACAAUAUUGAUAUUGAGAAGUUGGAUAUUUUCAUCCGAGUUUGAACUCGAAUUCUUGCAAUUACGAGUGUGAAUUUCAGGUAAUUUAUAUCAAUUUAUCUGUAAACAAAAGGAGAUAUAUACGCGUAACAAAUAGGUCUAAUGCAAAUUAACAACUUAUUUUUAGUUUAUAAAAUAUAUGAAAUUUAAUCCUUUAGUCCCUAGUAUAUUUUAACAAUGGGCACUAAAGCAACAUAUAUUUCAUAUAUUUUAAAUACUACUACAUCUUUCCUUAUGUAUAAGCUCAUUUGACAUUUUCACAUAUAUUAAAAAAGUUAGUAGUGUCUUGACAAAAAAGAAGCUCCUUAGAGUUUCCUUAUGUAUAUUUUUUUAAACCGAAAAAAUUGUGUACAAAAAAUGACUAUUAUUACUAAAAAAAAUCUUUUGCAUAUAGAUGUGUUCAACAUUUAUUUUGCAAUUCUCAAGACAAAUCAGUGGUACAUCUUAAUAAGUGAUAUAUUUGUUAGGAAAAAAAAUUACUAUAUGUAUCUAGUUAUUUGCAAGACUAAUGAUUCUUAGCAAAUAUGCUUAUAUUGAGAGAACUUUUUUCUAAAGAGAGCUUAUAAUUAGAGACUAAGAUUUUGCCAAAAAAUAAAGAAAAAUUAGAGAAUAAGGUUUAUACUAUACUUUAGAAACUAAUUUGAUGAGAUACGACUAAAUCGAAGAUAUAUUUUUUUAGAAUAGUGUUAGAACCUUAGAAAUUAUAAUCAAUAGAAAUAGAAAUGUUCCUUACAGAUCCAUAAUAGUGACAAUCUUGUCUUUUCUUUUGAGGAAAUAAUAAUAAAGGUGGUGCCAACAUUUCAACAAACCUAGCUAUUUUAAUUAUUCUGUUCUCACAGCCUGCACCUUAGAUCAAAUCCAAAUUGGGUCAUCACCGUUCCAAAAUGCUUAGGGACGUUACUCUAAAUGUCAAUAUGAAUGAGUAAUUCAAAUAGUUAACAUAGCCCGCCAGCCUUAUAUAAUAAUAUCAAUAUAUGUCGACUAAUUAUCGAGAUGCUAAAUUGGAGUACACUUCACAAACAAAAAUCUUUCAUAAGGCGUUUUUUCUCUUAAUACAUUUUUUCUUUUCUUAUGCUAGUAACAUUUACUCUGUAUUGGCCUUCCUAAGAAGAAGUUGGAUAGUAGCAAUGUGUUCGUGAGACUGCUGAUAUCUUAAAAGAAUGUUCUCAUAGAUUCCACUUUUUUAGUAAGCUUUUAUGUGUAUGAGUUUGCAAAUUUAACCCUUUUUAAUUCGGAUAGAUUUAUAAGUCACACCUUCAAGUACAAUCGACAAAAUUUCAGUAAUAAUUACGGUUUAGGGUUUAUGGGUCUAGAUCUACUAAAAAUGAGUGGGUGUAUAAAUUAGUAUAUCCUAGAGUUUAUUAUCUUACGUUCGAUCUUCUUUGCAGAAACUCGUGCAUGUUCGUGAUAUAUAUUUUCGCGAGAAGUACAUUUCCCUAAAACAAAAUCAACCACUGACAUAAACACGUCAAAUGUAAGCCGGUAAAUCCAAGCUUUACUAACACGAGUUAUAUUAUAUCAUUGGCAUCAGCUACUUAAGAACUACUGUAGAAAAUUUACAGCAAGUCAUCGAGGCUUAAUAAAAUGUGUUGAUAUAGUUACAAAGAUAAAUUAAAUAGCAGAGCAUACAUGAAGAGAACAAAUGUAGAGCAACCCCUUAAACAAACCCUCUCAGUAAGGUAUCUUCACAUUACUCUAAGUUCAUAAAAGAUGACUUUAAAAACGAUUAUUUCAAAAUGCAAGUAUUCUCCGACCCCUUUUUCCCGGAUCUAGAUCUAAUAGUGUAAGGAUAUAUAUAAAUCAUUGUCACAUUUUACAACUCAAGAGUUUACCUCAACUCGUUUUGUUUAGGUAAAUUCGACUCGAGAACUCGUAUGACUUUACCUAAAAUUAAAAUUAUAUAAAAUUUAUUAUAUAUGCAUGACAUAUGUAAGUUAAUAUAAUAUUGUAAAUAGGUCAAUAGUGCAAAAUAUGACUUAAUUACAAAGACAAAUUAUACCAUAAUAAAAUGUUAUGCUCAACUUAGCUUCAAAAUACAAAAAUUAACGCACAAAAUCAUAAGUCUCUAAGUUUAAGCCAUCCAUAAAACCAUCCAAAAAAAGAAAGUUUCACAAGUUCCUAAAGUUAUUAAUAAAACUAUCUAAAAAAUAAAGUAGUUAAUUUCUUCAAAACGUCAACAAACACCACCACAACAACCCUAACCAGUGUCACAAUCACCGGCGUUGAAAUAUGAAUUUCCACCGUCUGAAUCACAACCCUAAAUGGUAUGUGCUCCCCUGUUCAUGGUUUGAGAACUUAGAAAAGAAAAAGGGCAAUCCGGUGCACUAAAGCUCCCACAUACGCAGGGUCCGGGAAGGGGUCCCACCAUUUUUUGUGUAUUGUACGCAACCUUACCCUGUUUUUGAUCACAAAAGAAAAAGAAACGUUUCAUUUUAGGAACAACUUGUCACUGUAAAGGUAACUAUUAAUUAAACGUUUCAGUCUUUGGGGUUGUAGAAAAGGAAUUGGAUUUUGAAAAAAAUGGGCACAUAAAAAGGGCCAAUUUUUAGAUGUAAACUCGUAAAACUCAGUAAACUCGGUCGAGUUUACACGAGUUUACCUAGUGUUAACUCGGUCAAACUCGUUAAACCUUCCAAUUUUACCAGAAACCGAGUUUACCUCCGAAUUAACAUGAUUUUGGCACCUACGUAAACUCGAAGAGUUAACACUCAAUUUGCGGAACAUUGCAUAUAUAUUUAAAGAUAUAUGUAUAAUUAUAGAGAAAGUAGAGAAGGGAUAUACCAUUUUAUGUAGGGUUAUUAUGUAUCAAAUCAUAAAGAGUCGAGAGUUGUAUUAUACCAUAAUAUUCUUCCGUAAACUGGUAGUCAUGAUCAUGACGUAUAUUAUUCAAGUAUAUGCAAAAACAUGUCUGUAUCUAGUCUAAAUUUUUGACCAAAUGCAUGUAUUUGCUUAUAUUUUGUUACUACUUACUACUCGCCAAGUAAUGCUCAAUAUCUAAUAUAUAUAUUUCAAGACCAUCAAAGAUAACUCAGUUGAACAAUACAUAAUAUAUGCAAGGUUCGGGGUAUAUUACAUUUUCAAUUAUUCUAAUAAUAAAUUUAAAUGACACUUAAAUUAUACAACUAUUAAAUAGAUCUUAGUACCGUAAAAUUUAUAUUCGAGACUUGCUAGGGAGAACCAUCAACCUCAACAAAAAUUUCUACUUGAAUCUAACGCAAACAAAAGGUCCAACCAUCUAUGAAUCUCCGUUGAUAUCACAAAUGAUGUUUGAUACAAGAGAGACAUAUUAGAACAUAAUCUAUGUACAAUCUACAUUAAAAUAAAAAACAAGUCUACAGUCAUAUAAAUAACACAAUUUCAAAAUCUCAAAAUUAGGUAUGAAAACAAAAUGAUUAGAAAAAUAAAUGAUUCAAUCAUUCCGAGAUUUGUGCAAAAAAAAAAAAAAAAACAUUUUGAAAAUACAAUGUUAGAAACUUAUGAUCAAUAUAUAUUUUUCCUUACACAUCAAAAAUAAUUAAGCUAUAUUCUUGUCUUUUCAUUUUGGGCAAACUAAAAUUAAAAUCAAGGUAGUGUCAAUGUUUCUAUAGUCCUAGCUAUUUGAUUUUCUUCUAAGCUAACAAGAGUCUUCCAAAAUCAAAUUCGCGCUCAAAAUUAAAGCAACUUGGGUGGUAACCAUUCCAAAAUACUUAGGGCCACAUUGCUCUAAAAGUCAAUAAGAAUAAGUAAUAAUUCAAAGAUAGCCAACCUUAUAGUAUAUUUUAAUAUGAAUGUAUGCAUGUUUCCUAGAAGGUGAGUAAGCUAACUAAUCAAGAUACUUUGUUGGAGUUAAAUAUGGUAAAGAAUCCAACUAUAAAAUGGGGACUUGCCCCAGCAUUCUUUCACAAACCAAAACCAACUUCUAAGAAAAAAAUGAGGUCCCUAAUGGCCUCUGCUUCUCUCACUCUUGCAUUAGCCAUCCUCUUUUUGAGUUUCCCAUCUGAAAUUUCAGCAAACAAAUACGCAUAUUCCUCUCCACCACCACCACAUUACUCAUCUCCUCCACCUCCACCGGUUCACACUUACCCUAAACCAGUCUACCACUCUCCACCACCACCAGUUCACACCUACCCUAAACCAGUUUACCACUCUCCACCACCACCAGUUCACAAGUACCCUCACCCUAAACCAGUAUACCACUCUCCACCACCCCCAGUUCACAAGUACCCUCAUCCACACCCAGUCUACCAUUCUCCACCACCCCCAGUUCACAAGUACCCCCAUCCUCACCCAGUGUACCACUCUCCCCCACCACCACCACCAAAGAAGUCCUACAAAUACCCAUCUCCCCCACCACCACCAGUUCACACCUACCCUAAACCAGUCUACCACUCUCCUCCACCCCCAGUUCAUCACACCUACCCUAAACCAGUCUACCACUCUCCUCCACCCCCAGUUCACACCUACCCUCACCCUAAACCAGUCUACCACUCUCCACCACCCCCAGUUCACACUUACCCUAAACCAGUCUACCACUCCCCACCACCACCAGUUCACACCUACGUCCCUCACCCUAAGCCAGUCUACCACUCUCCACCACCACCAGUUCACACCUAUCCCCCACAUGUUCCCCACCCAGUUUACCAUUCUCCUCCUCCUCCAGUUCAUUCCCCACCUCCACCACACUAUUACUACAAAUCACCUCCUCCACCUUACCACAACUAGAUAGCCCAUAAUUGGCAUCACACCAUAUGGUAACUUUUCAUGCAACAUAUAUAUUAUAACUUUUCAUAUUCUCUCUUUAUUAACUAGUUAUCGGUAUGAUUGUCGAGUAUAUACUAACAAGGCUAAUUUGAAAUGAAACUUCAUGUGCAAUGAAACAUUCUUUUACUGGUUAAUAUUUUAUUCUAUGUUUCAUUGAAAUUAAUAUUUUUCUAAUAGUAUUUGGUUAUUAAGGGAUUAGAGUAUAUCAGACAUAAACUGACAGAUCAAUAUAUUUGCAUUUGUGUAGGAUCUAAAC
rnacentral:lncRNA from 1 species